rnacentral:tRNA from 1 species
GGCCUCAUAGCUCAGCUGACUAGAGCGUUAGCAGUACUAAAGCCGUCCCCUUUCUGGCAUGGGUUCAAAUCCCACCGAGGCCG